rnacentral:rRNA from 1 species
GACGAACGCUGGCGGCGUGCUUAACUCAUGCAAGUCGAACGGAAAGGCCCUGCUUUUGUGGGGUGCUCGAGUGGCGAACGGGUGAGUAACACGUGAGUAACCUGCCCUUCACUUUCGGAUAACUUCAGGAAACUGGGGCUAAUACCGGAUAGGAGCUCCCGCUGCAUGGUGGGGGUUGGAUAGUUUCGGCGGUUGGGGAUGGACUCGCGGCUUAUCAGCUUGGUGGUGGGGUGGUGGCUUACCAAGGCUUUGACGGGUAGCCGGCCUGAGAGGGUGACCGGCGACAUUGGGACUGAGAUACGGCCCAGACUCCAACGGGAGGCAGCAGUGGGGAAUAUUGCACAGUGGGAGGAGGCCUGAUGCAGCAACGCCGCGUGCGGGAUGACGGCUUGCGGGUUGUGAACCGCUUUCGCCUGUGACGAAGCGUGAGUGACGGUAAUGGGUAAAGAAGCACCGGCUAACUACGUG